rnacentral:rRNA from 1 species
GACGAACGCUGGCGGCGUGCUUAACACAUGCAAGUCGAACGGAGUGGCGAACGGGUGAGUAACACGUGGGUGAUCUGCCUUGCACUUCGGGAUAAGCUUGGGAAACUGGGUCUAAUACCGGAUAGUGCAAGAUGAGAUCGGGGCCUAUCGGCUUGUUGGGGGGGUAAUGGCCUACCAAGGCGUCGACGGGUAGCCGGCCUGGGAGGGGGUACGGCCACAUUGGGACUGCGGGACGGCCCAGACUCGUACGGGGGGCAGUAGUGGGGAAGCUUGUACAAUGGGGCGAAGCCUGAUGCAGCGGCGCCGCGUGGGGGAUGAAGGCCUUCGGGUUGUAAACUCCUUUCGACAGGGACGCGGUACCUGCAUAAGAAGCACCGGCUAACUACGUGCCAGCAGCCGCGGUAAUUC